CGGUUAAGUUAGAAAGGGCGCACGGUGGAUGCCUUGGCACUAGGAGCCGAUGAAGGACGGGACGAACACCGAUAUGCUUCGGGGAGCUGUAAGCAAGCUUUGAUCCGGAGAUUUCCGAAUGGGGAAACCCACCACUCGUAAUGGAGUGGUAUCCAUAUCUGAAUACAUAGGAUAUGAGAAGGCAGACCCGGGGAACUGAAACAUCUAAGUACCCGGAGGAAGAGAAAGCAAAUGCGAUUCCCUGAGUAGCGGCGAGCGAAACGGACCAGCCCAAACCAAGAGGCUUGCCUCUUGGGGUUGUAGGACACUCUGUACGGAGUUACAAAGGAACGAGGUAGAUGAAGAGGUCUGGAAAGGCCCGCCAUAGAAGGUAACAGCCCUGUAGUCAAAACUUCGUUCUCUCCUGAGUGGAUCCUGAGUACGGCGGAACACGUGAAAUUCCGUCGGAAUCCGGGAGGACCAUCUCCCAAGGCUAAAUACUCCCUAGUGACCGAUAGUGAACCAGUACCGUGAGGAAAGGUGAAAAGCACCCCGGAAGGGAGUGAAAGAGAUCCUGAAACCGUGUGCCUACAAGUAGUCAGAGCCCGUUAACGGGUGAUGGCGUGCCUUUUGUAGAAUGAACCGGCGAGUUACGAUCCCGUGCAAGGUUAAGCAGAAGAUGCGGAGCCGCAGCGAAAGCGAGUCUGAAUAGGGCGAAUUGAGUACGUGGUCGUAGACCCGAAACCAGGUGAUCUACCCAUGUCCAGGGUGAAGUUCAGGUAACACUGAAUGGAGGCCCGAACCCACGCACGUUGAAAAGUGCGGGGAUGAGGUGUGGUAGGGGUGAAAUGCCAAUCGAACCUGGAGAUAGCUGGUUCUCUCCGAAAUAGCUUUAGGGCUAGCCUCAAGGUAAGAGUCUCGGAGGUAGAGCACUGAUUGGACUAGGGGCCCCUACCGGGUUACCGAAUUCAGUCAAACUCCGAAUGCCGAUGACUUAUCCUUGGGAGUCAGACUGCGAGUGAUAAGAUCCGUAGUCGAAAGGAAACAGCCCAGACCGCCAGCUAAGGUCCCAAAGUAUACGUUAAGUGGAAAGGAUGUGGAGUUGCUUAGACAACCAGGAUGUUGGCUUAGAAGCAGCCACCAUUUAAAGAGUGCGUAAUAGCUCACUGGUCGAGUGACUCUGCGCCGAAAAUGUACCGGGGCUAAACGUAUCACCGAAGCUGCGGACUGUUCUUCGAACAGUGGUAGGAGAGCGUUCUAAGGGCUGUGAAGCAAGACCGGAAGGACUUGUGGAGCGCUUAGAAGUGAGAAUGCCGGUAUGAGUAGCGAAAGAGGGGUGAGAAUCCCCUCCACCGAAUGCCUAAGGUUUCCUGAGGAAGGCUCGUCCGCUCAGGGUUAGUCGGGACCUAAGCCGAGGCCGAAAGGCGUAGGCGAUGGAUAACAGGUUGAUAUUCCUGUACCACCUCCUCACCAUUUGAGCAAUGGGGGGACGCAGGAGGAUAGGGUAAGCGCGGUAUUGGAUAUCCGCGUCCAAGCAGUUAGGCUGGGAAAUAGGCAAAUCCGUUUCCCGUGAAGGCUGAGCUGUGAUGGCGAGCGAAUUAUAGUAGCGAAGUUCCUGAUUCCACACUGCCAAGAAAAGCCUCUAGCGAGGUGAGAGGUGCCCGUACCGCAAACCGACACAGGUAGGCGAGGAGAGAAUCCUAAGGUGAUCGAGAGAACUCUCGUUAAGGAACUCGGCAAAAUGACCCCGUAACUUCGGGAGAAGGGGUGCUCUGUUAGGGUGCAAGCCCGAGAGAGCCGCAGUGAAUAGGCCCAGGCGACUGUUUAGCAAAAACACAGGUCUCUGCGAAGCCGUAAGGCGAAGUAUAGGGGCUGACGCCUGCCCGGUGCUGGAAGGUUAAGAGGAGCGCUUAGCGUAAGCGAAGGUGCGAAUUGAAGCCCCAGUAAACGGCGGCCGUAACUAUAACGGUCCUAAGGUAGCGAAAUUCCUUGUCGGGUAAGUUCCGACCCGCACGAAAGGCGCAACGAUCUGGGCACUGUCUCAACGAGAGACUCGGUGAAAUUAUAGUACCUGUGAAGAUGCAGGUUACCCGCGACAGGACGGAAAGACCCCGUGGAGCUUUACUGCAGCCUGAUAUUGAAUGUUGGUACAGCUUGUACAGGAUAGGUAGGAGCCUUGGAAACCGGAGCGCCAGCUUCGGUGGAGGCAUCGGUGGGAUACUACCCUGGCUGUAUUGACCUUCUAACCCGCCGCCCUUAUCGGGCGGGGAGACAGUGUCAGGUGGGCAGUUUGACUGGGGCGGUCGCCUCCUAAAAGGUAACGGAGGCGCCCAAAGGUUCCCUCAGAAUGGUUGGAAAUCAUUCGCAGAGUGUAAAGGCACAAGGGAGCUUGACUGCGAGACCUACAAGUCGAGCAGGGACGAAAGUCGGGCUUAGUGAUCCGGUGGUUCCGCAUGGAAGGGCCAUCGCUCAACGGAUAAAAGCUACCCCGGGGAUAACAGGCUUAUCUCCCCCAAGAGUCCACAUCGACGGGGAGGUUUGGCACCUCGAUGUCGGCUCAUCGCAUCCUGGGGCUGUAGUCGGUCCCAAGGGUUGGGCUGUUCGCCCAUUAAAGCGGUACGCGAGCUGGGUUCAGAACGUCGUGAGACAGUUCGGUCCCUAUCCGUCGCGGGCGCAGGAAAUUUGAGAGGAGCUGUCCUUAGUACGAGAGGACCGGGAUGGACGCACCGCUGGUGUACCAGUUGUUCUGCCAAGGGCAUCGCUGGGUAGCUAUGUGCGGACGGGAUAAGUGCUGAAAGCAUCUAAGCAUGAAGCCCCCCUCAAGAUGAGAUUUCCCAUUCCGCAAGGAAGUAAGAUCCCUGAAAGAUGAUCAGGUUGAUAGGUCUGAGGUGGAAGUGUGGCGACACAUGGAGCUGACAGAUACUAAUCGAUCGAGGACUUAACCAAUUU
rnacentral:rRNA from 1 species